rnacentral:rRNA from 1 species
UACGAAGGGGGGCUAGCGUUGCUCGGAAUCACUGGGCGUAAAGCGCACGUAGGCGGAUUGUUAAGUCAGGGGUGAAAUCCUGGAGCUCAACUCCAGAACUGCCUUUGAUACUGGCGGCCUUCGAGUCCGGGAGAGGUGAGUGGAACUCCGAGUGUAGAGGUGAAAUUCGUAGAUAUUCGGAAGAACACCAGUGGCGAAGGCGGCUCACUGGCCCGGUACUGACGCUGAGAUACGAAAAGCGUGGGGGAGCAAACAGG